rnacentral:rRNA from 1 species
GACGAACGCUGGCGGCGUGCCUAAUACAUGCAAGUAGAACGCUGAAGGAGGAGCUUGCUCUUCUGGAUGAGUUGCAAACGGGUGAGUAACGCGUAGGUAACCUGCCUGGUAGCGGGGGAUAACUAUUGGAAACGAUAGCUAAUACCGCAUAACAGUAGAUGUUGCAUGACAUUUGCUUAAAAGGUGCAAUUGCACCACUACCAGAUGGACCUGCGUUGUAUUAGCUAGUUGGUGGGGUAACGGCUCACCAAGGCGACGAUACAUAGCCGACCUGAGAGGGUGAUCGGCCACACUGGGACUGAGACACGGCCCAGACUCCUACGGGAGGCAGCAGUAGGGAAUCUUCGGCAAUGGACGGAAGUCUGACCGAGCAACGCCGCGUGAGUGAAGAAGGUUUUCGGAUCGUAAAGCUCUGUUGUAAGAGAAGAACGAGUGUGAGAGUGGAAAGUUCACACUGUGACGGUAUCUUACCAGAAAGAGACGGCUAACUACGUG